CCGUCCCCACAGUUCUUUCCUUUCCUGUAUCACUUUAGUGACGCUCCCACAGUGCUGAUGGUCCUUUCUGUCCUCCCCUGCCCACAGCUGGCACGUUACACGAAGGAGGGGUUCCUUCACCUGGGUGCCCUGGGCACCACGACCCUGCUCCCAGACACCCGGUGCCUGGUGGAUAACGGGAAGAGCCGCUUCCCGCAGCUCCUGGACUGUGAGAAGGUCAAGAGCAGCCUCCACAAGCGCUGGAGUUUCAUCCAGAAUGGUGCCAUCCUGAACAAGGGCACAGGACGGUGCCUGGAAGUGGAGAACAAGGGAAUGGCUGGAAUCGAUCUGAUCCUUCGCAGCUGCACAGGACAAAGGUGGACAAUUAAAAACUUCAUCAAGUAAAGGCUGAAAGAGUCAGGGGAGUGUGACUCCAACCACAGCUGACCUGGACUGAUCCGACGGGACUCCUUUGGAAAGGAUGGAAUAUCAAAACAGAGCUUUAUUCAUAUUAUCAGGAGAGGACAUGGGGGAAAUGGGCAUCGCUUUCUUUCUUUUGUUGUGUUGAAAUCUCCCCCAGCUGAUCCCAGCUGUGUGAAACUGGGGCAGAACUGCUGGUUCCUUCUGCAGAGCUCUCGGGGAGGUGCUGCUGGGACGACUGGAAUGAGCUCCUGCAGCCCCAGGAGCGUCGUGCUGACAGGGAAUUGUUGCUUUCCCAGACAACUCCAAGCCCUGCCAAAGGGCUGGGUAGGUUCAGGGUCAUCCACCCUAGAUACACCUGCCUGGCAAGGGUGAAAAUUUGGGUGCUUGUGAGAGGAAAAUGUCACCAGGCCCCAAAGGAGAGGAGGGUGAAGGACGUGCUGUCUUGCUGGGUCCUUGCUUUCUUUUCCCUUCCUUGCCCCUGCAUCCAGCAGCCCCUUUCCUGAGUGCUGGAGGAACAAAACACACCCUUCAUCCCCCCUGCUCUUAACCUCAGAUAUCCUCAAACAAAAUGCCACUGAAUAAACCCACUGAUCUCCCAUUUCCCCCCUCCCUCACCCAUGUGCUGAGCAGCACCAGUCCCUCCCAUGGAGACCCCAAAUUCCCCUUGGGAACGAUGUGGGAUGUCUGCCUACCCUUUGGGGGCAUCAGGAAUGGUGGUCUCCCUAACUCUGCAGUGGUGUCCUCUUCCCUGUCCUGCCUGCUCCGUAUGUCACCAUGGUCAAGGCCCUCCCCAGACUGUCCUUGUCCCUUCAGACCUUCCCAAGCUCUGGAAGGAGCAGAGAGGGAAGGCAAGAGACCAAAAAAUGGCACUUUGGCUGAAAUUCUUGACCUGCAAGUCACUUCAGGCUUGUUAAUGUGGUGGACUGGUCUCACAAUAAUUUUGGCUGCCAACUCUUGGCUCCCAAACCCACCCAACUGUCACAGGAGACCACUGUUUGGGGCCCUGGUGUCUGGCUCACCUGGAAAAGGGAAAUAUGGUCCCUGCACAAUUGCUGCCCAUGGAUGGACACAGGCCUUGCCCAGCAGAGAGGAGAAGCCAGCCCUUCUCCUGUCCUUCUCACAGAAUAAUACUCUUUCUGGUUGCCCUCUGGCUAGGGUGCACUAAAAUAUAUUAAUAUAUGAGAUGUAUGUGUAAAUAUGGCUCCCAAAGAUGGGAUGUGCACAGAGUUGUUUGCUGCAGAGCACUCAUGCCUGUCUUCCAUUUGCAUCAGGAUGAAGCUACCUGGAUGUUUAACGAGUUUAAUUUUCAAUGCCAUGCAGCAGGUUUAUAACUGAUGUUUUAGUAAUUUAUUGAACAGAAGCAGAUAUAUUUCAUUGUUCCUUCUACAGCAACGUAGGACUGAUUGUUCAUUUAGGCUUUACAGGACUCCCUCAAGCAUUAGGGUUGUCCCUGAUUUUUUUCCCUUGCCUUCCUUAAUGAAGUAAAACCUCUUAGUUGUCCUGAACUGCAAAGUAGGGAGUCAAUGUAGAAUUCUGCUCUCCUUCUUCGCUGUUGCAUCAUCUCUCGUGUAAUAAAUCUCAGCCCUUACCAACCCCGAUAUGAUCACAAAUCUUUAGAUGCAUGAUAUGUUUUCCCCCUUCCGUUUGUUGCUGCCUUCUAAGAAAAGCAAUUUGCUGCUGAAGUGGACUCCAGGCAGGUCCGGGGGGUUGGUCAAACUGCUAAAAAGCCCUUUAAUUGAGCAAUCAGUCUGCUGUCAGUCACCAGCGGCAGCCACGUGUGGGUCAGAGGAGGGAAAAGCCUGCAUGUUUCAGGAUAAACAACCAAAAAUGUUGUAGAAUUCCUAGUUCCCAGUCCAGCUCGAGUCCUGCCAGUGCCCAGGGCACCAGCAGAUGGGCUUUGUCACAUUCAAUCGUGGUGGGAUGAGGUGCCACCCCCCAGCCCUCCGUCUGCCCCGCUGCUACCGGCAGCACCACUGAAUGUGUGGCUUCUCCUCGGCUCCCAUCCCUGGCAGGAGCUGCUCCAGCUGCCAGGCAGGAGGGACUGGCUGUGUUUAGCUCCCUGGAUUGUCACCACAGCCCCUCUGGGAUGUCCCUGUGUCCAGCAGCCCCCAGCAGAGCAUCUCCCAGCGCCAUCGGUGCCAUCCCUGCGCUCAGGGGGCACAAGACGAGGAUCCUGCUGGUGAUGAGCUCUUUGAUCCUUUAUUAAGGUUCACAGAUGCCUUUCCUUCAUGCUCCAUGUGGAAAACAACCCCCUGACUCUCCACAAGGAAGGGGAAGCUGGAAAUGAUCACUCAGAGCCCCCGCUGAGGUAUUUGCCCCUUGUUGCUGCUGUAAUUGCAGCUUUCAAUGACUGAGAAGAAUCAGGAAAAUCAGCACGAGCAAAAUGAGGAAUGAAAGUGAGAAUUUAAUCUGCUGUGUCUGUGCAAGUGAAAUUCUGACACUGGUUUGUGACAUGCAGAGGUGAUUGCUGAGGCCACGGCCCGAGGUCUGCGCCCUCCGAAACCGUAGGAAUCUGUCUUAGAAAUCUGGGUCUAAUUGUUGCAUCUUGGCUUAUCUCUAAUAAUAUGUUAAUUGCUUUAAGAAGUGAUAUCCAAGUGAUUCUUAUUAAAUAUAUGAUUUGA